UCAAGCUUUGUUCUGAUUAGACUUUCAGUUUUGAUCAGUUUUAGACUUUUAGUUCUGAUCAGAUGCAAGCUUCUGUUUUUGUUUUGAGCUAUGUGUACGUUUAUCUGACACAACACAGCAGAACACACACACACACACACACCUGAAAUACACACAACACACUCAAACACACAGCACAGGUAACACAGACAGCAGAACACACACACAACAGAACACACGCAGCCAUUCUAUUGCAUGUUAGUUCUGGUCAAAGUUGUACAACAGAGGAAGGAGACAUUCCUUUUGGAAUUGAGGACUUGCUAUAUUAUGUAAAAAAGGAUGAAGCAGAUAAGUUCCAUCUAGGUUUUGGAGCCCUUAAAGAGUAUUUUCCUCUUGUCUUUGAUUUGAGCUCUUCUGAACUUAUGGGCUAUGCGUACUUCGAUCUCUACUCCAGGUUCUGCAACUAUCUCUCUUUCUGAUGACCUUAUCCUCAUUGUACUUAACAAACUGUCUGACAACAAUGUCAUUAAUCCAGGAAAGGAAAAUAUGGCCAGACUUGUGUUUCGCCUCUCCAAAAUGGUUCAUUAUCAGCAAAUGUUGCUAGACAGGUUCCAGUUGUUCUACUGAUGUCUGAUAUUUUAAAGGGGGAUGUUAACUUUCCUGCAUUACUGCGAUUCUCUAAAGUUGUUAGUCUUUUCCAUGAAUUUGGCCAUAUGUCAUUGGCUCGCAUGAACAAGAAGGACUCGUGGCUGUUUUGGUGGAGCCUUUAUCUUACCGUGAGUGAAGUUACUUUUUUUUCCUUUUCCGUCUCCUUUAAAAACCAUGUACUCCCUCCUUGCACAUAAGUAACACUUAUACUUUAGGGCAUUGUAAAUUAGCUGUCACGUGGUACUUUCUUAAAUAUAACUUUCGGUUCCUGAAUUUCUGUGAGGUCUUGUUUUGGUACUAUAUAUUAUGUUACAAGCUGGAUGAA